UCUCUGCAUCACAAGGGAAGGUUUUUGCCUCUUCGCUGGAUCAAUUUAGAGGAUACGCUCGUCCUCCUCCUUCAUUCUUAGUUUAGGACAGUGGAAACUCUUUUUCUUUUAUUUUAUUUUAGGAAUUUUGGGAACAUUUCAACAAAGGAGAUUUUUUACGGGUCAAACAAGACCUAAGACUUAAUCUAAAAGAAAUUAUUAGAUUAAAUCUAUUUGCAUUAAAAAAAGAUUGCAUUAAAAAAACUGAUCAAAAAAGGGCGAGCGAAAUAAGUGAUCGAAAAACUUUCUUCUUUGUUCAUCCUAUCUAUAAGAGGAGAGCAUAUGAAAAAUGUAACCUAUUCUUUCAUUUUUUUAGCUCACAGGCCAUUCGCUGGGAGUUUCGGACUUAAUACCGAUAUUUUAGCAACAAAUCUAAUAAAUCUAACUGUAGUGGUUGGUGUAUUGAUUUUGUUUUAGAAAGGGAGUGUGUGCGAGUUGUCUAUUUCAAGAAUAGAUUGGAUUUAUCCGGCCGCACUUUAGAAUAUUUUUUAGUAUUUUUUUGAUAAAUAAGAAAAGGUGCACGAUCUCGACGAAUUACUUCUGAAUAACUUUAGAAAUCAUAUGGAAGAACCAUAGCAUUUCGCGACUCAUUGGUAAAUUUACUUUGAUUCUCUAUAGACCAAUAAUGUGAGACCAUUGACACGGUUAAAGCUAAACUGCUUGAAGUCCGGGCAAAAGGGGAUACUCUUUCUACAACUACAUUAGUCUCGAAAUGCUUUAAACGGGAAAUAGCUAGUGUGGAAUUUAUCUGAUAUAGAACACUCAUAUCGAUAAAAUAGUUUGAACUAUUUACUAGAAGGGCAUCCAGCCCUUUUUCCAAUGCCGAAUCGACGACAUAUGUAUAAAAGAGAAAGUUUUUGGAUUUGAAGAAAAAAUAAAAGGAAUUGUAUCAAUUUAGAUUUUCCAUUUAUUUAGUUUUUUUUCUUAAUGAAAUUGAAAUUAUUAACUAACAGAGCAAACACAAAUAAAGAAAUAACUUUGCUGACCAUGAUAUAUUUUUAUCUAGUUGGAAGAAUCCUCUUAUCUUAAUAUUCAUCUAGUCUUAUAUAUGUUUGGGUAUAUAGAAAUACAAACAGAAAACAGAGGAUAGGCUCAUUACAUAAAAAAAAAUAUGGAAAUAGCCGUAAUACAUAGCAAAAGAGAAAAAAAGGAGCGGGAGAGCCAAAUGAAUCGAAAGAUUCAUGUUUGGUUCGGGAAGAGAUCAUAAAAAUUGUAAACUUAAUAGCAAGAUAAUCUACUUUCCUUAAAAGAUUUAUUAGAUAAUAAAAAAUAGAGGAUCUUAAGUACUAUUCGAAAUUCGGAAGAAUUGCAUAGAGGGACCCUUGAACAACUCGAAAAAGCUCGGAUUCGAUUACAGAAAGUCGAACUAGAAGCAGAUGAGUAUCGAAUGAAUGGAUACUCUGAAAUAGAAUGAGAAAAGGCAAAUUUGAUUAAUGCUACUUCUAUUAGUUUGGAACAAUUAGAAAAGUCUAAAAACGAAACCCUUUAUUUUGAAAAACAAAGGGCGAUGAAUCAGGUUCGACAACGGGUUUUCCAACAAGCCGUACAAGGAGCUCUAGGAACUUUGAAUAGUUGUUUGAAUACCGAGUUACAUUUCCGUACGAUCCGUGCUAAUAUUGGCAUUCUCGGGGCCAUAGAAUGGAAGAGAUAAUGAAAUUUAUUAGGUUUUGAACUUCUACUUUCUUUUAGAAUUUAGGCAUUAUUUUCCCCUUGCUUUCAAAAAAAAGAUUCAAGAAACACUAAUGGCAACCCUUCGAGUCGACGAAAUUAAUAAAAUUCUCUGCAAACGUAUUGAACAAUUUAAUAGGAAAGUAGGGAUUGAGAAUAUCGGUCGCGUAGUUCAAGUGGGGGAUGGGAUUGCUCAUAUUAUAGGUCUUGGUGAAAUAAUGUCAGGUGAAUUAGUCAAAUUUGUGGAAGGGACAAGAGGUAUUGCUCUGAAUUUGGAAUCCAAAAAUGUUGGAAUUGUAUUAAUGGGCGAUGGGUUGAUGAUACAAGAGGGAAGUUUUGUAAAAGCAACAGGAAGAAUUGCUCAGAUAUCCGUGAGCGAGGCUUACUUGGGUCGUGUUAUAAAUGCUCUCGCUAAACCUAUUGAUGGGAGAGGCGAAAUUGUCCCUUCGGAAUCUCGCUUAAUUGAAUCUCCUGCUCUAGGUAUAAUUUCUAUGCGUUCCGUAUAUGAACCCCUUCAAACAGGGCUUAUUGCUAUCGAUUCGAUGAUCCCCAUAGGGCGCGGUCAGCGAGAGUUAAUUAUUGGGGACAGACAGACUGGCAAAACAGCACUAGCCACUUCGCUUCUCUUAGGACCCGGAGAUUUCUUGGUUCAUCAUGCUAUUGCUCUAGGUUUGCAUACAACUACAUUGAUUUUAGUAAAGGGUGCUUUAGAUGCACGCGGUUCCAAAUUAAUGCCGGAUAAAAAGGAUUUCGGAUAUAGUUUUCCUUGCGACGGCCCAGGGCACGGUGGUACUUGUGAUAUUUCUGCUUGGGACGCGUUUUAUUUGGCAGUUUUCUGGAUGUUAAAUACAGUUGGAUGGGUUACUUUUUAUUGGCAUUGGAAACACAUCACAUUAUGGCAGGGCAACAUUUCACAAUUUAAUGAAUCCUCCACUUAUUUGAUGGGAUGGUUAAGAGAUUACCUAUGGUUAAACUCUUCACAACUUAUCAAUGGAUAUAAUCCUUUUGGGAUGAAUAGUUUAUCAGUAUGGGCUUGGAUGUUCUUAUUUGGACAUCUUGUUUGGGCAACUGGAUUUAUGUUCUUAAUUUCCUAGCGUGGAUAUUGGUAGGAAUUAAUUGAGACUUUAGCAUGGGCCCAUGAACGCACACCUUUGGCUAAUUUAAUUCGCUGGAGAGAUAAGCCCGUGGCUCUUUCCAUUGUGCAACCAAGAUUGGUUGGAUUAGCCCACUUUUCUGUGGGUUAUAUAUUCACUUAUGCAGCUUUCUUGAUUGCCUUAACAUCAGGCAAGUUUGGUUAAUUUAGUUUUUUUUUGUUUUUUUGUACUGUAUCAGAACCUAGUUCAUUACUCUUGAUGGAGAGGGAGGAUCUGCCUUUUUAGAUUUUUUUCUAUUUAUUUUUCCAUCUAGGAUUAGAACCAUAUACUUGGUAAUAAUAGGAACGGCACAUUAUGGCAAAAAAAAAGUUUGAUUUAGAGGGAGAAGAAGCAGCAGAAAUUAGAAAAAAGAUAUCAUUUGAUUCGUGGAUCCUCAAAAAAAGGAUAAGAAGCAAAGUUUCCCCUUUGAGUUUGAGCGAAAAAAAUGCAAGAAAAAUUGCAAUCCCUACCACGUAAUAGUGCAUCUACACCCCUUCAUCGAUGUUGUUUUUUAACCGGAAGACCUAGAGCUAACUAUCGAGACUUUGGGCUAUCCAGACACAUACUUCGAGAAAUGGUUUAUGCAUGUUUGUUACCGAGUGCAACAAGAUCCAGUUGGUAAGGAUAAAAUACCCUUUCAUAUUUGUAUGGUAUUCUCGAAUUGAUGAUCGUAGAAGAGCCCUUUUUACCAUUCUGUAUAAAUGGACUAUUCUAUUUAUAUAGAUAUGGUAGAGGGGCGUAUCCGAUCCCCUUUUAUCCACAAGUUCCCCGCUCUUUAGUUUAAGAAGGUAGAGCAGUUUGGUAGUUCACAAAGCUCAUAACCUUAGGGUUACGGGUUCGAUACUCACUACCCGCUCCAUAUUCCUUCUUUAUGAUAUAUGUACCAUCCAUUUGUAUAUGGUAUAUGGAUUUUUUUUCUUUCCUAAAAGAGUUUCGGUCUAACAGUUUUUUAUUUUUUCUCUUGUUCCGAGAAAAAAAGUAAAAGAAAGAAAAAAAUACGAAAGAAAAGCAUCCAUUGUCUAAUGGAUAGGACAGAGGUCUUCUAAACCUUUGGUAGUUUCAAAUUCUAUUGGACACAAUCUUUUUUCUAUCUAUUCUUUAAAUAACUAUACUAAAAACUAAGAAAACUUUUUUGCAUGAUUCAAAUGAAAAAUCUUUCUCAAUGAUUCCUCUUCUACUAACACGAGUUCUACUAAUAAGAGUAGACAUGCUAUAUUUAUGUUUGUUCCUGAAGGGAAAACCGUUCAAGCUGUUCCUGAAUAGCUUCCUUCAAAAGGGUUUCUGCUUGCUCGGUGAAUGUCUUGCUAGAAGAUAUAAUUUCUUGGAAUUGAGGUUUAGUAUCUUUUAGGUGCUUACGUAACUCAUCCAGAAAUUUCUUUACCUGUUCAAUUUCUAACGAAUCAAGAUAUCCUCUCGUUCCGGUAUAAAUGGUAGCUACUUGCUCUUCCACUGGGAGAGGGUUUGAUUGGGUUUGUCUAAGCAAUUCUCGUAAUCAUCGACCCCUUGCCAAUUGAUUCUGACAUGUUUUAUUGAGAGCAGAGGCGAAUUGUGCAAAGGCUUGUAACUCCGCGAAUUGAGCUAAUUCCAAUUUUGAUUUGCCAGCUACUUGUUUCAGGGCUUUAAUUUGAGCUGCGGAUCCUACUCUCUGGAAACGAAAAUACCCACAUUAAUAGCAGGUCGAAUUCCGACAUUGAAUAGAUCCGCGGAUAAGAAUAUUUGUCCAUCUGCAAUUGAGAUUACAUUAGUAGGAAUAUAGGCGGAAACGUCUCCACUAUUGGUAAAGCGGUCAUACUCCCUUCGCCUAAAAGAGAAUUUAAUUUAGCAGCUCUUUCUAAAAGGUGUGAAUACAUAUAAAAAACAUCCCCUGGAUAAGCUAAGGGGUCUUCUUAAUAGAAGGGACAUUUGGCGAUAAGCUUCUGCCUGUUUGGAGAGAUCAUCAUAAAUUAUUAAAGUAUGCCAUUCGCGGUACAUAAAAUACUCAGCCAGGGCUGCCCCCGUAUAAGGAGCGAGAUAUUGUAAUGUAGCGGGUGAAUCUGCCAUUUCAGCUACAACAAUAGUGUACUCCAUAGCCCCCUCUUCAUGGAAAGUAGUUACUACUUGAGCCACGGAGGAUGCUCUUUGACCGAUAGCUACAUAAACACAAAUUGCAUCUUGCCCUUUUAGAUUGAGAAUUGUAUCUGUGGCUACUGCUAUUUUGCCAGUCUAUCUAUCCCCAAUAAUUAACUCUCGCUGACCACACCCUAUGGGGAUCAUCGAAUCGAUAGCAAUAAGCCCUGUUUGAAGGGGUUCAUAUACGGAACACAUAGAAAUUAUACCCAGAGUAGGAGAUUCAAUUAAGCGAGAUUCCGAAGCGACAAUUUCGCCUCUCCCAUCAAUAGGUUUAGCGAGAGCAUUUAUAACAUGACCCAAGUAAGCCUCGCUCAUGGGUAUCUGAGCAAUUCUUCCUGUUGCUUUUACAAAACUUCAUUCUUUUAUCAUCAACCCAUCACCCAUUAAUACAAUUCCAAUAUUUUUGGAUUCCAAAUUCAGAGCAAUACCUCUCGUCCCGUCCGCAAAUUCGACUAAUUCACCUGAUAUUAUUUCACCAAGACCUAUAAUACUAGCAAUCCCAUCCCCCACUUGAACUACGCGACUGAUAUUCUUAACCCCUACUUUCCUAUUAAAUUGUUCAAAUUAAAUCUAUUUGCAUUAAAAAAACCGAUAAAAAAAGGGCGAGCAAAGUAAGUGAUCAAAAAACUUUCUUCUUUUCAUCCUAUCUAUAAGAGGAGAGCAUAUGAAAAAUGUAACCUAUUCUUUCGGUUUUUUUUAGCUCACAGGCCAUUCGCUGGGAGUUUUGGGCUUAAUACCGAUAUUUUAGCAACAAAUCUAAUAAAUCUAACUGUAGUUGUUGGUGUAUUGAUUUUUUUUUUUGAAAGGGAGUGUGUGCGAGUUGUCUCAUCCGAAGCGGAUCAUGGCAAGGUCCACGCGUUCUCUGCGUCACAAAGGAAUGUUUUUGCCUCUUCACUAGAUGUACACGUUACGUACCAAGGAAGGCUUCAAGAUUUUUGCAAAAAGAACAUAGAAGAUGUACACGAGGAGAGCCACAUCGACUCGCCGACGACUACUCUUAUCAACUACUUUGACGAGGCGGCUCCCCGUCGACUACUUUGACUACGCCGUGACGCCUUAUCGACGACAAUUUUGACUACUCUUCUCGACUACUUCGACGUGCGACGACUACAACUUCAUGAGGGCACUCGACGACCCGCCGACGUCUACUUCGACUACUCUUCUCAAACUACUCCGAUGGACGUCAACCUCGACUACAUCAACAUCCGGCCGCAUCGACUCAUCAGCCACUACGUCGACUACUCGUCGGCGACUACUUGGACUACUCUUCUUGAUUUCUUUGACGAGUGACUCACCGACGACUACUCCGACUACAUCAUGAUGCUCACCGAUGACUACUCCGACUACAUCAUGAUGCUCGCCGAUGACUAUCUCGACCACUCAUCUCGACUAGAAAACUAGUCGAGGAUGGUCUACAUCGACAAGAUCGAUCUACCGACUUUCCGACGACUACUUCAGCCUCGUGAGGGUGCUCAGCAACCCGCCGAUGACUACCUCGACUACUCAUCUCGACUAGAAAACUAGUCGGGGGUGGGCCUUGAUCCGUCAACAACUACUCGGAAUCGACUCCGACUAGUCGGCUUCAUCAACAACCAUCGCAGCUUCAUCAACGACCACCACGGCUUCGUCGAUAAUCGUCCACGAAUCAAGCUAAGUCACUUUUCUACUUAUUUUCUGGCUUGUUCUCCGCAUGCAGGGCAAUACGCUGACUACAUUUUUAUGUACGUCUCUCGACGGGAAUUACCCUCCAGAGCUACACUUCGCUGACUACUCGCCAGAGGGCAGCAAACUCCUGAGCGCAAUGGUGCUCUCUUUUUGUCGCAAUGUUGACUACUUUUAUCUUUUCUUAGCCAUUGAUAAUCUCCUUGAAUAGAGCACGCCUUAAUUCAUAAAAGCCUCAGGUGCACCUGUUACGCCUAAGUGCCAGCACAUAUACACGAGACAAAGAUCUCAGCUGUGCAAAUGGCAGUGCCCGUACGCGUUUAUGAGACAAAGAUCUCACACACACAGUGGCUGCGGCUAAACGGAGACUGAGAGCCUAAACAUAACAGGCUACCUACUCGAGAGAGAUAUGGCCAAAAAAAGAGCAUGACACAUAAUAUUUUUAUUGAUCACUGAAUAAAUUUCAAUAAGCACAAUAUUCUACAAAUAUGCUACAUAAUGUACGCAUCUUUAUUUUCAGAUCAGGCUUUAGUGACGACGCUCCAAGACGCUAAGCGUACCUUCAAAGGUACAGACUAGUUCCCAAAGUCAGGGGCUAAGCACCAAUUAGUACUCGGACCUACUUCUGGUGGCUCUGCUAGUUCCCAAACUCGGGGGCUUAGCGCCAAUUACUGCUCGGGAUAUCUCCAAUGGCUUAGCUAGCUUCCAAGCUUGGGGGCUAAGCGCCAAUAACUACUUGACGUGGCUCCUACGGCUCACCUAGCACAUAAGCUCGGGGGCUGGACGUCACGAGACUACUCAGAUGAUGACUUGAGUGAAGAUUCAAGAUCCUUGAAUUGAUCAAUCAACUCAAGGCUAGGGGGCUGAUAAGCUACACCCAAGAUUUUUUCAAGCUGAAAGAAGAAGAUUCAAGAUUUUGACCCUCAGCCUA
rnacentral:lncRNA from 1 species